rnacentral:misc_RNA from 1 species
UUGAGGCCGUGAUGCCCACCA